rnacentral:rRNA from 1 species
GAUGAACGCUGGCGGCGUGCCUAAUACAUGCAAGUUGAGCGAACAGACGAGGAGCUUGCUCCUCUGACGUUAUCGGCGGACGGGUGAGUAACACGUGGAUAACCUACCUAUAAGACUGGGAUAACUUCGGGAAACCGGAGCUACUACCGGAUAAUAUAUUGAACCGCAUGGUUCAAUAGUGAAAGACGGUUUUGCUGUCACUUAUAGAUGGAUCCGCGCCGCAUUAGCUAGUUGGUAAGGUAACGGCUUACCAAGGCAACGAUGCGUAGCCGACCUGAGAGGGUGAUCGGCCCCACUGGCACUGCGACACGGCCCAGACCCCGACGGGAGGCAGCCGUAGCGGCUCUUCCGCAAUGGGCGACCGCCCGACGGAGCCACGCCGCGUGAAUGAUGAAGGUCUUCGGAUCGUAAACCUCUGUUAUUAGGGAAGAACAAAUGUGUAAGUAACUAUGCACGUCUUGACGGUCCCUAAUCAGAGAGCCACGGCUAACUACGUG